CGUAAAUAGGAAUUAUUUUCAAGUGAAGUUUGUUUUGUUUUCGUGCGCGUAGGAGACGAGACGUACGAAUUAAAUCAGUCGAGGGAAGGAUAAACGUUAGAAAGGAAUUAAAGAGAAAACGAGAGUUUAUGUAAAAGAGAGUUAUAGAAUUUAUAGUGAUGUUUUGUUUUAAUAAGAAAAAUGUUGAGAGUUGUUUCAGAACGACACGUCAGUGGACGUGGCAGAAUGAACACGUGACGGGGAGGUGCUGAGACCUAGCGGAGAACGGAGGAACCGCAAGCGAGGGUUGGCGCACCUGAUGGAAUUCGGUGACGUCACGGGCUCAUACGGAGACGUGGACAGGCCGUGACCUUGUUUUGAUCAGCUGUACGGUAACUUAGCGAUAAGAAAAUAGACUAUUGGUUAAAUAAAUUUAAAUUUAAGUGUGUUUUAGGAGAAGAGGAACUUUCAGUAUAUUCCUUAAGAUGAGCUGAGCAGCAGUCCAGUUUACAAGAUGACAAGAGUUCGAGAGACAAGAUACAAGAUCACUGAAACAAGAGCCAAGACUGAAGAUACAAGAGAAGAGAAAGCUGGCAGCCAUGGACUUACAAGUGGAGAUUAAUAAGGUCAUGUAAAGUUUUAUUUUUUUAUGGAAGACAGUAACUGGAGUUUUUUUGUUAUAAACAUUAUUUACAGAACUUUUUAGGUUAUAGUAAUGUAAUGGAACUAGUGAGUUGUGGUAGCUGUCAAAAAGAACUAAUACCUUAAGUUUAAUUUUUAAAGUUAAUUUUCUUAAUUUACAGAGGGAUUAGUAGUUUUUUUUAAAACCUUAUUUAGGUUGGAAUUUAAAUACAAUAGCUUAUUAUAAAUGUGUACGAACAGUUCAAGUUCACAGUACUGAUAGGUAGGUCAGAUGAUCUUAUUGAUUUUGAUGAUUUGUUGUUUUGAGUUGAUUUUUAAGUGUUGUGAAUUAGACAAUGAAAUAGUUCUGAAAACUUAAAUUAUUUCAAGCUAAGAAAUAGUAAAUUUAAUUGUAACUCGAAGGACACCAGAAUUUACUUUUUUUUUGAAUUAGUAAUGUUUGAAAAUUUUAUACUUUACAAGAAAGGUUAUAAACAAACAGAUCGGAUGGAACAAGGAUGCAGUAAAUCACAAUUUCAUUUAGAAUUAUUGAUUAGCUUUUGAGGUUAUGAAGUAAAAGUAAUUAUAGUUUAAAAGUUUGAAUAAAAAAAAAAUGUUUUUUUUUUAUUUGUUUGAAAUAGAAAGUUUAAAAGUUAAUUAGUCAUGAUCUAGGUGGGUGAUGGGGUGGGAAUUGGCCACUCUUUUUCCCUAUAACCUCCCUAACAUGGCCUUCUAUUACAACUAACAUAAAUAAAGAAGAAGAAAAAUGAAGAAUUAUUAGUUAGAAUGUUUCUUUCAUGAAGAUACCUGAUGAACUUUUACUGUUUGGAAGAAUAGAAGCAAGGUUAGUCAGAUAUUUUUACUCAGAAGAAGAAGAAGAUAAAGCAGUUUUAUGACUCGACAAGCCAGAGAUUGGUGUUUCCCCUCUGCGCUUCUAUUGACUACGUUGUUUACUCUCAUGGGAUAGCUGGUUCGGCACCAUGGAGAGAGAUUGGUGGGCAUUGUGGUUGCCCCCAGAAGAAAAGAAGAGUAGAAGAGGUUAUGGGUGGGUCAUGUGAACUGACCUUCAACCCAGUUACUUCGUGGGAACUAUUUGCUGUAUAGAGAAGAUCAAGACUCAAGAGUUAGGGAAAAUCAUUGGAGGUCAUGUUUCCCUUCCUUAAGUUUUUCCUAUCAAAUUAUUUGCCUGAUUAGAUUAUGCUAAGGGUGGGAUACUUUAUGUUAGCAGUUGAAUUAAUUAAUUUUAUUUUUUUGUGUGUUUGCAUCCUUGCCCAUCGAUUGCAGUUUAGUAGUUAGUUUUGUAUUUGUCAGGCGUGAUGGUAAUGCCUGUUGAUGAUGUUUCAGAAUUGUAAUCUGUUCGUGAUGAGGAUGGCACAACUCCGAAGCAGAUGUGGGGAGAAGUUGUGAGCUGCCCUGGAAGCCAGUCCAGUAGCUGUUGGAGUUGAGUGGUGUUUGCUGAUGGCCAGCCCAGGGAGCUACUCUUCUCGACAACACUGACUUCGAGGAGUUGCACCAACCUUCACGAGAUAAGAGUUUAAUUAAUUGAAACACUGUAAGGACACUUAAUUUUUUUUGAAGAACGAAAGAAGUAUGGUAAUAAACGGAAACCGAAAAAAAAAAUAAUAAUAAUUAUCAAGAAUUUGCACAUUGUUUAACGAAUACUGAGAAACUAAGAACAGUAAUUUAAUUUGUAAAGAGAGCUUCACUAACAGAACAAUUUUUUUAGAAUUGAGAACUCGAGCCUCUGAAGGUUCCUGUGAGAACAAACCAGAUAAAAGUUUUACAUUUAAUUUUAUGAAUACUUGUUGUUUUAAAAUAAAUCUUAUGCAGAAUCUAGAUGUAUGUUCAGACAGCAAGGAACUAAGAAAAUUAUUAUUUUUGUGAAAUGAGGAAUUUAUAGUUAUGGUUUAAUGGAAAAAGACAAUUUGUAAUUUUGAGGUAGCUCGAUGGGGCUCGAGCUCUGUGAGGGGAGGGUUAUGUCGCGGGUUGAAAUUUUGCAGGGUUGUUGAAAUCAAAUUUAGGGACUUUACUGACGGGACUCUGGGCUGGCUGCUCUGUUCACUCGUCAGCGCAAGUGGCGUGACCAUGUAAUUGGGGCACGGGGCCGGCGCGGCGCGCUGCGGGCUUGCAGAAUUUUGUUUGUUUGUUUGGCCGCGCGCUGGCGCAGCCACGGGCCGCAGUUACUGGGGCGCGCUGUCGUAACAAGCCGCGCGGUGUGGCCUGCACAUUGGGGUAGAGGGGGGGUAGUCUUCCCAGAUGUUCUAGUUAGUUGUUUAGUAAAUUUGACUUCAAUAACGAGCUUUUGUUAUGGUAGGCGCGGCAGGGCGCGCGAAUUUAAGCGCAAGUGAGUGGUGACUCGGGGCUCACUCAGGCGGAGGCUAUGCGUCUCACCUGUGGUCACGAGUUGUUAGUUCGUUCGUGAUGUAGGAAUUCAAGCUUUCGGGCGGAAGCUAUGGUCGACGCCAGAGGCCACGAGUCGUUUAAUUUAAGUUAGGUCAUAAUGUAGUCGUCAAGCUUUCGGGCGGAGGCUAUGGCCCUCGUCAGGGGUCACGCGUCAUAGUUUUUAAAAUGUAAUGUUCGUUCGGGAUUUCAAGGGCAGGAGAGGCCCCUACGUUAUUUUUUUAAAGUAAUCGAUCAAGAAAGGCUUUUCGGAAAAUGUGAGUAUGGACUUAUCUUUGUUUUAAUUUUAAGUAUUAAUUAUGAUUUGAGGUAUUCGGAAGGACUAGGGAAGUGUUUAGUGAAGUUCUCUCAUUCUCUCUCUUGUAAGGUCGUUCAAUCGUUAAGGAAGUAAAGAGAUUAUUGUUUUAAAUUGUAAUCCCGCUAUUUAAAUGUUCUUUAAAAUGAUGUUGAGUAUUUGACUUUAAGAAUAAAAUAAUUUUAAU